AGCCCGGUCGUCUAGCGGCCAAACGCUGGUCAGAUGACCCCGCGGACGCCGGUUCGAAUCCGGCCCGGGCUA
rnacentral:tRNA from 1 species